rnacentral:rRNA from 1 species
AGUGAACGCUGGCGGUAGGCCUAACACAUGCAAGUCGAACGGCAGCACAGUAAGAGCUUGCUCUUACGGGUGGCGAGUGGCGGACGGGUGAGGAAUACAUCGGAAUCUACUUUUUCGUGGGGGAUAACGUAGGGAAACUUACGCUAAUACCGCAUACGACCUACGGGUGAAAGCAGGGGAUCUUCGCACCUUGCGCGAUUGUAUGAGCCGAUGUCGGAUUAGCUAGUUGGCGGGGUAAAGGCCCACCAAGGCGACGAUCCGUAGCUGGUCUGAGAGGAUGAUCGGCCACACUGGAACUGAGACACGGUCCAGACUCCUACGGGAGGCAGCAGUGGGGAAUAUUGGACAAUGGGCGCAAGCCUGAUCCAGCCAUACCGCGUGGGUGAAGAAGGCCUUCGGGUUGUAAAGCCCUUUUGUUGGGAAAGAAAAGCAGCAGGUUAAUACCCCGCUGUUCUGACGGUACCCAAAGAAUAAGCACCGGCUAACUUCGUG